GAAGGGAUAGCUCGGUGGAAGAGAAUUCGACUGCAGAUCGAAUAGUCCCCGGUUCAAAUCAGGGAGUCUUCUUCUUCA